UACGAAGGGGGCUAGCGUUGCUCGGAAUCACUGGGCGUAAAGCGCACGUAGGCGGAUUGCUAAGUCAGGGGUGAAAUCCUGGAGCUCAACUCCAGAACUGCCUUUGAUACUGGCGAUCUCGAGUCCGGGAGAGGUGAGUGGAACUGCGAGUGUAGAGGUGAAAUUCGUAGAUAUUCGGAAGAACACCAGUGGCGAAGGCGACUUACUGGACACAUAUUGACGCUGAGGUGCGAAAGCGUGGGGAGCAAACAGG
rnacentral:rRNA from 1 species